rnacentral:rRNA from 1 species
GAUGAACGCUGGCGGCGUGCUUAACACAUGCAAGUCGAACGAGAAGUGAAGACGGAAACCUUCGGGCGGAAGGCUUUAUUUCGAGUGGCGGACGGGUGAGUAACGCGUGGGUAACCUGCCUCAUACAGGGGGAUAACAGUUGGAAACGACUGUUAAUACCGCAUAAGACCACAGCACCGCAUGGUGCGGGGGUAAAAACUCCGGUGGUAUGAGAUGGACCCGCGUUCGAUUAGCCAGUUGGCGGGGUAACGGCCCACCAAAGCGACGAUCGAUAGCCGAUCUGAGAGGAUGACCGGCCACAUUGGGACUGAGACACGGCCCAAACUCCUACGGGAGGCAGCAGUGGGGAAUAUUGCACAAUGGGGGAAACCCUGAUGCAGCGACGCCGCGUGAGUGAAGAAGUAUUUCGGUACGUAAAGCUCUAUCAGCAGGGAAGAAAAUGACGGUACCUGAGUAAGAAGCCCCGGCUAACUACGUG